rnacentral:rRNA from 1 species
UACGAAGGGGGCUAGCGUUGCUCGGAAUCACUGGGCGUAAAGCGCACGUAGGCGGAUUGCUAAGUCAGGGGUGAAAUCCUGGAGCUCAACUCCAGAACUGCCUUUGAUACUGGCGACCUUGAGUCCGGGAGAGGUGAGUGGAACUGCGAGUGUAGAGGUGAAAUCGUAGAUAUCGCAAGAACACCAGUGGCGAAGGCGGCUCACUGGCCCGGUACUGACGCUGAGGUGCGAAAGCGUGGGGGAGCAAACAGG